rnacentral:rRNA from 1 species
GAUGAACGCUGGCGGCGUGCUUAACACAUGCAAGUCGAACGGAAAGGCCCAAGCUUGCUUGGGUACUCGAGUGGCGAACGGGUGAGUAACACGUGGGUGAUCUGCCCUGCACUUCGGGAUAAGCCUGGGAAACUGGGUCUAAUACCGGAUAGGACGAUGGUUUGGAUGCCAUUGUGGAAAGUUUUUUCGGUGUGGGAUGAGCUCGCGGCCUAUCAGCUUGUUGGUGGGGUAAUGGCCUACCAAGGCGUCGACGGGUAGCCGGCCUGAGAGGGUGUACGGCCACAUUGGGACUGAGAGACGGGCCAGACUCCUACGGGAGGCAGCAGUGGGGAAUAUUGCACAAUGGGCGCAAGCCUGAUGCAGCGACGCCGCGUGGGGGAUGACGGCCUUCGGGUGGUAAACUCCUUUCGCUAGGGACGAAGCGUUUUUGUGACGGUACCUGGAGAAGAAGCACCGGCUAACUACGUG